rnacentral:tRNA from 1 species
UCCCGUUUAGCUCAGCUGGUAGAGCGCGUCACUAGUACGAUCAUAUCGUGUAAUGACGAGGUCAGUCGUUCAAGUCGGCUAAUGGGAA